CCUACGGGAGGCAGCAGUGGGGAAUAUUGGACAAUGGGGGGAACCCUGAUCCAGCCAUGCCGCGUGUGUGAAGAAGGCCCUCGGGUUGUAAAGCACUUUCAGUGAGGAAGAACGCCUGGUGGUUAAUACCCAUCAGGAAAGACAUCACUCACAGAAGAAGCACCGGCUAACUCCGUGCCAGCAGCCGCGGUAAUACGGAGGGUGCGAGCGUUAAUCGGAAUUACUGGGCGUAAAGCGCGCGUAGGUGGCUUGAUAAGCCGGUUGUGAAAGCCCCGGGCUCAACCUGGGAACGGCAUCCGGAACUGUCCAGCUAGAGUGCAGGAGAGGAAGGUAGAAUUCCCGGUGUAGCGGUGAAAUGCGUAGAGAUCGGGAGGAAUACCAGUGGCGAAGGCGGCCUUCUGGACUGACACUGACACUGAGGUGCGAAAGCGUGGGUAGCAAACAGGAUUAGAUACCCUAGUGGUC
rnacentral:rRNA from 1 species